GAGGGUAUAGCUCAAUUGGUAGAGCACAUGCUUAGCAUGCAUGAGGUCCUGGGUUCAAUCCCCAGUAUCUCCA
rfam:Camelus ferus unplaced genomic scaffold scaffold399, whole genome shotgun sequence.